CGGCCGCGUCGACCUUGGCUCAGGACGAACGCUGGCGGCGUGCUUAACACAUGCAAGUCGAACGGAAAGGCCCUGCUUUUGUGGGGUGCUCGAGUGGCGAACGGGUGAGUAACACGUGAGUAACCUGCCCUUGACUUUGGGAUAACUUCAGGAAACUGGGGCUAAUACCGGAUAGGAGCUCCUGCUGCAUGGUGGGGGUUGGAAAGUUUCGGCGGUUGGGGAUGGACUCGCGGCUUAUCAGCUUGUUGGUGGGGUAGUGGCUUACCAAGGCUUUGACGGGUAGCCGGCCUGAGAGGGUGACCGGCCACAUUGGGACUGAGAUACGGCCCAGACUCCUACGGGAGGCAGCAGUGGGGAAUUUUCCGCAAUGGGCGAAAGCCUGACGGAGCAAGACCGCGUGGGGGAANAAGGGCUCUUGGGGUUGUAAAACCCCCGUUUUUCUCUGGGGAAAGAAAGUUGUGAAAGCAAACCUGACGGUACCAGAGGAAUCAGCAUCGGCUAACUCCGUGCCAGCAGCCGCGGUAAGACGGAGGAUGCAAGCGUUAUCCGGAAUGAUUGGGCGUAAAGCGUCGCG
rnacentral:rRNA from 1 species